rnacentral:misc_RNA from 1 species
GUGCCCGUCCACUGAACGGUCGGCAGGYGAUCCGCGUCGGUCGCGCUGGGUGGUAUGGUUCCCCAGAGGCCGGUUCUUGUGCUGCCUACCCCUUCAGGGGAAGAGUUCCAAACUUGAUGUAAGCCUCCAUCCGGCGCCCUCCAAAGGGCGCGGGAGGACAACRGAGCACCCCCCGCGUUCCACCGAGCCUCCUCGGUCGCGUGGCCCGCGGGGACGUGCGAUGCUCUCGGACCCAGCGAACGCCGUGGGCGAGGACUCACGUCCCGGUCCCAAGUGAAGCAACGGUAUAACGCACGACGGCCGCUCCCGCCCCMCGACCGCCCCGGCGGCGCGGGGGCGAAGGCGCGGCGUCGCUGAGGAAUGCU